AGAUACAUUUGAUGGAGUGGAAGCCAGGCACAGACCUUGCCAACCAACCCCCCCCCCUCCCAAUCCAGCACCUUACAAGACAACUAGGCCAGGAGCCUUUCUUCAAUGGCUGCCCAUGUUGGAUAGCAAUGUCUUAACUUGCAGACACCCACCGUCUUAUCUUCCUAAGAAUUAUUCUGGAUCCAAGGGCAGAAGGAUUGUAGGGAAAGAAAACUCGAGCUGAAUGAAAUCGCUUUGCCUGGAAGCAAUUCCAAGCACCCAAGGCACGCUUUACAUCAGUAUUUUGACAGGAAAAGAAAUCCUGAGGGAGAAGCAAGAACAAACUGAGAAAUUAAACACUGAUGAAAAUUAGGACAACUAAGGAAAAAUACCAGCUGAGAACAAGGAUCCUGUGUCUCUUGGAAGAAGUGGGUCAGGUUGAGGGUAAUAAAGUUAUAACUUGUAGGCAUAAACUAGAAAGGAGCCAUCUUGAUGUCUGCUUGCUAAAACAACUCACAGCAGAAUAUGAUGACUUUUCAUCAGAAUUCCUAAUCAAAUGACAUCUCUUUACUCAAAUGAGUUAGUCUAAAAUGUAUUACAAGUAGAUUUGCAUUUGGUGUGAAAUUAGAGGUGAGAAGCAACCUUGCAAGUUCCCUUCUCCUCUGCAACUUUCAGUUCUGUUUUCCAAUAUGUGCUAAUGCUAAUUUGUUAUGACACCCUAACAUCCAAAUUCAUUUUCUGAUGGGACUGAAGGGCAAAUAAUUCAGACAUUAAAAGAAACUAUUGUCAGUGCUAACAGGAAUUGGAAGGGAACUCUGUGAAACAGUGUGUAGAAGAGGGUCUAUGCAACUGAUUUGCCUUUUUCCACCUAUUUCUUUGGAGAAUUAAUUCAUGUUCAACCUAUGGUCCACUAAGACUCCCAGAUCCCAGAUUACAUGUACUGCCAUCAAGCCAGGUGUUACCCAUCCUAUAUCUGUGCAUUUCAUUUUUACUGCCCAAGUCUAGUAUCCUACAUUUCUUCCUGUUGAAAUUCAUUUUGUUAGUUUUAGCCCAGCCUUCUAAUCUGUUAACGUCAUUUUACAUUUUGAUCCUGGCCUCUGGGGUAUUAGUCAUUCCUCCUAAUUUAGUGUCAUCUGCAAAUUUGAUCAGCAUGCUCUGUAUUCCAUCAUCUAUGUCAUUUGACCAUAUCCUGGAAGAGAAUGCCAACCUGGCUUGCAUAACAGAGACCUGGCUGGAUAAAGCUGGGGAUAUUUAACCUCUCCCAGCUUUGUCUGCCUGGGUUCUUUGUACAGCAGCAGGCAAUGCCUGUAGGGGGGAGGAGAUGGAGUUGCAGUGGUCUAUCAGGAUUCCAUCUCCCUCACCAGAAGCCCUGUCCCACAAACUGCUAGGUUCGGGUGUGUGUUUUUGAAGGUGGGUGGCAGGGACAGAACAGAGGUCUCCCUGGCUGAGUUGGUCUUAGCAGUGGUGUUGGAGUCCCCUUGGCUUGUUGUCCUGGGGACUUCAGCACCCAUACUGAGACUUGGUACAAAGGUAGCCCAAUCUAUACCACAUUGCAGAAAGUUACCUGCAUGUGCACUGCCAUCUUCAGGAGAGUACACGGUUCCCUGCCUUCAGGCUUAUAAUCUAAAAAGACACGACACAAAAGGAGAAGGGAAUGGUGGUGGGGAAGUGGAUCAGGUCCAGCAGUUCUUCUCUCCCUCCGAGACCUGGACCAAGGCAGAUGGACUUGGAUGGAGGGCUCGGCUUCUUAAUCUAGGCCAGGCCCGAAGGUGUUAACUCGCUAUUGAAAGAGGUUCUUUUUUUAGGGAGGCUAAAUUGUUAUCCUCCUUAUUAAAUGUGCUUUGAAACCAUCUAAAAUUAGUGUUUUAAAUGAGAUUGCUUCUUUCAUUGUUUUAAAACUUUUGUACUACAAAUUAUUUUAGCUGCAUUUCAUUUUAACCCAUGUUGUAUAUUCCUUUGUAUCCUGAGUUGGGAGGAAACUGGAAGAUAAAAUAAAUAAAUAAAUAAAUAAAUAGUUGUUUUAUCCCGAUACUGUUGACUGGGAAAUAGAAAGAAAAUAGUUUGCUUCAUGGCAAUUCGUUCAUGACAGAAGUAGACAGAGACGUCCCAUUCCUUGAGCUGCGUCUUCAUACUUCACAGUACUGCAAUAUGAGAAAGAAAUUUCCCUAUAUCUUCUGACGCAAUGAAAUAUAGUAAUUUUGAAAUUCUGCCUUAUUUCCCCUUCUGAGCAUAAAAAUUCUGCCCUCACAGAACUUAAGUCACAAAAUCUUCACUAAUUGCAAGCAAUAAAAAAAGACUCUUUCUCCAAGGGAGAGGUAUUGCUGCAGAAGAUAUGGCAACAUUCCAGCUUCUUUAAUUACCCCUUGCCUGCCACCUUGUACCUGUCUUCUCUCGUUUCAAAGGAUGUGUCCUGGGGUGAAAUUGUACUUCUGUGUGUUUUUAACUAUGGCAAGAUCUGGUCUCAGAGCUGAAUGUGCCUCUUUCUUUGGGGAAGCAAUGUUCCUUUUACUUGCUUGAUGAAACUGAUAAAUGCAAUGAGCAUUUUUGUGCUGGGUAGAUGUGUAAAAAUACAGGCAUAUAUCUGCUACUGGGUGUGUAUCAAGAUGCCCUUAAGUUUAUCGGUUAUCUUUGAUAGAGAGGCGGGAUAUAAAUAAAACUUUAUAAUAUUAUUAUUAUUACUAUUAUAAGUUACUGACAGAAAUGUACAGCUUGAGGAGUUUCAAUAAAGUAUACGCUUUAUUUAAAUCAAGAAUGGUGCUUUGAAAAUAUAUAGGAAGGAUAUACAAGAUAUUACUGUAAUUGAUAAAAUUGUUGGAUCAAUUCAAGGGACUUACAGAUUGAGGAAAAAUGUGGUUGGAAGGGGAGGGGAAUGUGAAAAAUGACAAAGGUAUACCAUGGGG